rnacentral:misc_RNA from 1 species
GAUGAAGAACGUAGCGAAAUGCGAUACGUAAUGUGAAUUGCAAAUUCAGUGAAUCAUCGAGUCUUUGAACGCACAUUGCGCCCGCCAGUAUUCUGGCGGGCAUGCCUGUUCGAGCGUCAUUACAACCCUCAGGCCCCCGGGCCUGGCGUUGGGGAUCGGCGGAGCCCCCCGUGGGCACACGCCGUCCCCCAAAUGCAGUGGCGGUCCCGCCGCAGCUUCCAUCGCGUAGUAGCUAACACCUCGCGACUGGAGAGCGGCGCGGCCACGCCGUAAAACACCCAACUCUUCUGAAGUUGACCUCGAAUCAGGUAGGAAUACCCGCUGAACUUAAGCAUAUCAAUAAGCGGAGGA